rnacentral:rRNA from 1 species
UACGUAGGGGGCAAGCGUUGUCCGGAUUUAUUGGGCGUAAAGAGCGUGUAGGCGGCCUGACAGGUCUGCUGUGAAAACUCGAGGCUCAACCUCGAGAUGUCGGCGGAAACCGUCUGGCUAGAGUCCGGAAGAGGAGAGUGGAAUUCCUGGUGUAGCGGUGAAAUGCGCAGAUAUCAGGAGGAACACCGGUGGCGAAGGCGGGUCUCUGGGCCGAUACUGACGCUGAGGAGCGAAAGCGUGGGGAGCGAACAGG